GAGCGUUGCUAGAGGAGGUGUGUCACUGGGGGUAGGCUUUGAGGUAACAUAGCUCAGUUCCAAGCCCAGUACUCAGACUAGUUCUUCCCUGCUGCUGUGAAGAU
rnacentral:miRNA from 1 species